GACGAACGCUGGCGGCGUGCUUAACACAUGCAAGUCGAACGGAAAGGCCCUGCUUGCAGGGUGCUCGAGUGGCGAACGGGUGAGUAACACGUGGGUGAUCUGCCCCUUACCUUGGGAUAAGCCUGGGAAACUGGGUCUAAUACUGGAUAGGACCAUGCUGUAGGUGGUGUGGUGGAAAGAUUAGUUUCGGUAAGGGAUGAGCUCGCGGCCUAUCAGCUUGUUGGUGGGGUAAUGGCCUACCAAGGCGUCGACGGGUAGCCGGCCUGAGAGGGUGGACGGCCACAUUGGGACUGAGAUACGGCCCAGACUCCUACGGGAGGCAGCAGUGGGGAAUAUUGCACAAUGGGCGCAAGCCUGAUGCAGCGACGCCACGUGGGGGAUGACGGCCUUCGGGUUGUAAACUCCUUUCAGCCAUGACGAAGCCCUUGUGGUGACGGUAGUGGUAGAAGAAGCACCGGCUAACUACGUG
rnacentral:rRNA from 1 species